UACAGGAGGUCUCAAGCGUUGUUCGGAUUCAUUGGGCGUAAAGGGUGCGUAGGCGGCGCGGUAAGUCGGGUGUGAAAAUCUCGGAGCUUAACUCCGAAACUGCAUUCGAUACUGCCGUGCUUGAGGACUGGAGAGGAGACUGGAAUUUACGGUGUAGCGGUGAAAUGCGAUAGAUAUCGUAAGGAAGACCCAGUGGCGAAGGCGGGUCUCUGGGACAGUUCCUGACGCUGAGGCACGAAGGUCAGGGGAGCAGACGGG
rnacentral:rRNA from 1 species